rnacentral:misc_RNA from 1 species
GAAAUGCGAUAAGUAGUGUGAAUUGCAGAAUUCAGUGAAUCAUCGAAUCUUUGAACGCACAUUGCGCCCCUUGGUAUUCCAUGGGGCAUGCCUGUUCGAGCGUCAUUUGUACCCUCAAGCUCUGCUUGGUGUUGGGUGUUUGUCCCGUCUCCGCGCGUGGACUCGCCCCAAAGUGAUUGGCAGCCGGCGUACUAGUCCCGGAGCGCAGCACAUGUCGCGCAAACGAGUGCCUUGGUACGGCGGCGUCCAUAAGCCCCUCUCUCACGCUCUUGACCUCGGAUCAGGUAGGGAUACCCGCUGAACUUAAGC